UUCCAGAACCAGAGACUGGGGUCUACCCUGGGAACUCAGGCUGCUAUCUUCAAGAUCAUCACUAGGCCAGGAAGGGAAGUGAGGCAAGAGCAAGCAAAAUUCCACAAAGUUUUCCUUAUGUGUGUAUAUGCUUGUGGUGCUUCUGACCUGGAAGAGAUCCCAAUGACACGAUCCUCCUGCACUAAUUCCUGAACAAAACUGGGGCCUUGGGUGAAACAGAAGCGGCAGUUUUGAGACGUUAGUUGCUAUGAUCGGCCUGCAGAAAGAGCAGAGGCCAGCAGUCUUUGGAAUUCAGGAUGCAUCAUGCAUGGGGAGGAGAAUUUGCUAAAGUAGUUGUUUGUCAGGGCACCUGGGUGUCUCAGUCGGUUCAGCGUCCAACUUCGGCUCAGGUCAUGCUCUCACGGUUCCUGUACUGCCAAUGCAGAGCCUGCUUUGGAUCCUCUGUCUCCCUGUCUCUCUGCCCCUCCCUGCUGGUUCUCGUUCCAUCUCUCUCAAAAGUAAAGAAACAUUUAAAAACAAUUUUCUAAGUGGUCAUGUGUCAAAAUACUUUUUCUAGUUUUUCACUUGUCUCUAAUUUUACUUGUGGUGUUUGGGAUACGUGGAA